rnacentral:rRNA from 1 species
UACGUAGGGUGCAAGCGUUAUCCGGAUUCACUGGGUUUAAAGGGUGCGUAGGUGGGCAGUUAAGUCAGUGGUGAAAUCUCCGGGCUCAACCCGGAAACUGCCAUUGAUACUAUCUGUCUUGAAUAUCGUGGAGGUAAGCGGAAUAUGUCAUGUAGCGGUGAAAUGCUUAGAUAUGACAUAGAACACCAAUUGCGAAGGCAGCUUACUACCCGAAUAUUGACACUGAGGCACGAAAGCGUGGGGAUCAAACAGG